CAAAACUCAAAAAAGUAAGUCUCAGUUCGGAUUGCAGGCUGAAAUUCGCCUGCAUGAAGCCGGAAUUGCUAGUAAUGGCAGGUCAGCAUACUGCCGUGAAUACGUUCCCGGGCCUUGUACACACCGCCCGUCACACCAUGAGAGUUUGUAACGCCCAAAGUCGGUGGCCUAACCUUUAUGGAGGGAGCCGCCUAAGGCGGGACAGAUGACUGGGGUGAAGUCGUAACAAGGUAAC
rnacentral:rRNA from 1 species